rnacentral:rRNA from 1 species
UAUUGCACAAUGGAGGAAACUCUGAUGCAGCGACACCGCGUAUAGGAAGAAGGUUUUCGGAUUGUAAACUAUUUUAGACAGGGAAGAANNAAGACAGUACCAGUAGAAUAAGCUCUGGCUAACUACGUGCCAGCAGCCGCGGUAAUACGUAGGGAGCAAGCGUUAUCCUGAAUUAUUGGGUGUAAAGGGUGCGUAGACGGGACAGAAAGUUAGUUGUGAAAGCCCUCGGCUUAACUGAGGAACUGCAACUAAAACUAUUGUUCUUGAGUGCAGGAGAGGAAAGCGGAAUUCCUAGUGUAGCGGUGAAAUGCGUAGAUAUUAGGAGGAACACCAGUGGCGAAGGCGGCUUUCUGGACUGUAACUGACGUUGAGGCACGAAAGUGUGGGGAGCAAACAGG